rnacentral:rRNA from 1 species
UACGUAGGGUGCGAGCGUUGUCCGGAAUUAUUGGGCGUAAAGGGCUCGUAGGCGGUCUGUCACGUCGGGAGUGAAAACUCGGGGCUUAACCCCGAGCCUGCUUCCGAUACGGGCAGACUAGAGGUAUGCAGGGGAGAAUGGAAUUCCUGGUGUAGCGGUGAAAUGCGCAGAUAUCAGGAGGAACACCGGUGGCGAAGGCGGGUCUCUGGGCCGAUACUGACGCUGAGGAGCGAAAGCGUGGGGAGCGAACAGG